rnacentral:rRNA from 1 species
UACAGGGGGGGCAAGCGUUGUUCGGAAUUACUGGGCGUAAAGGGCCAGUAGGCGGCCAACUAAGUCCGACGUGAAAUCCCCAGGCUUAACCUGGGAACUGCGUCGGAUACUGGUUGGCUUGAAUCCGGGAGAGGGAUGCGGAAUUCCAGGUGUAGCGGUGAAAUGCGUAGAUAUCUGGAGGAACACCGGUGGCGAAGGCGGCAUCCUGGACCGGCAUUGACGCUGAACAGCGAAAGCCAGGGGAGCAAACGGG